rnacentral:rRNA from 1 species
GAGCUUGCUUUCUUGAGCGAGUGGCGAACGGGUGAGUAACGCGUGAGGAACCUGCCUCAAAGAGGGGGACAACAGUUGGAAACGACUGCUAAUACCGCAUAAGCCCACGGCUCGGCAUCGAGCAGAGGGAAAAGGAGCAAUCCGCUUUGAGAUGGCCUCGCGUCCGAUUAGCUAGUUGGUGAGGUAACGGCCCACCAAGGCGACGAUCGGUAGCCGGACUGAGAGGUUGAACGGCCACAUUGGGACUGAGACACGGCCCAGACUCCUACGGGAGGCAGCAGUGGGGAAUAUUGCACAAUGGGGGAAACCCUGAUGCAGCGACGCCGCGUGGAGGAAGAAGGUCUUCGGAUUGUAAACUCCUGUUGUUGAGGAAGAUAAUGACGGUACUCAACAAGGAAGUGACGGCUAACUACGUGCCAGCAGCCGCGGUAAAACGUAGGUCACAAGCGUUGUCCGGAAUUACUGGGUGUAAAGGGAGCGCAGGCGGGAAGACAAGUUGGAAGUGAAAUCUAUGGGCUCAACCCAUAAACUGCUUUCAAAACUGUUUUUCUUGAGUAGUGCAGAGGUAGGCGGAAUUCCCGGUGUAGCGGUGGAAUGCGUAGAUAUCGGGAGGAACACCAGUGGCGAAGGC